rnacentral:rRNA from 1 species
AGCAUAUGCUUGUCUCAAAGACUAAGCCAUGCAUGUCUAAGUAUAAGUACUAUACAGCGAAACUGCGAAUGGCUCAUUAAAACAGUUAUAGUUUAUUUGGUGACCAAAUUACAUGGAUAACCGUGGUAAUUCUAGAGCUAAUACAUGCGUAAAGGGCCGUCUAGGCUUGUAUUUAUUAGAUAUCAGACCAAUCAAGUGGUGACUCAUAGUAACUGAUCGAAUCGCCUGGGCGUUAGUCCGCGAUAAAUCAUUCAAGUUUCUGCCCCAUCAGCUGUAGAUGGUAGUGUAUUGGACUACCAUGGCUUUCACGGGUAACGGAGGAUUAGGGUUCGAUUCCGGAGAGGGAGCCUGAGAAACGGCUACCACAUCUAAGGAAGGCAGCAGGCGCGUAAAUUACCCAAUACUGAUUCAGUGAGGUAGUGACAAGAAAUAGCGGGCCGGCUCAAUGCCGGGACUGAAAUGAGAAGAAUUUAACGACCUCUACGAGGAACAAU